rnacentral:rRNA from 1 species
UACGUAGGUGGCAAGCGUUGUCCGGAAUCAUUGGGCGUAAAGAGCGUGUAGGCGGUCCGGUAAGUCGGCUGUGAAAGUCCAGGGCUCAACCCUGGGAUGCCGGUCGAUACUGCCGGACUAGAGUUCGGAAGAGGCGAGUGGAAUUCCCGGUGUAGCGGUGAAAUGCGCAGAUAUCGGGAGGAACACCUAUGGCGAAGGCAGCUCGCUGGGACGUUACUGACGCUGAGACGCGAAAGCGUGGGGAGCAAACAGG